rnacentral:rRNA from 1 species
AUUGAACGCUGGCGGCAGGCCUAACACAUGCAAGUCGAACGAGUGGCGGACGGGUGAGUAAUGUCUGGGAAACUGCCUGAUGGAGGGGGAUAACUACUGGAAACGGUAGCUAAUACCGCAUACCAUCAGAUGUGCCCAGAUGGGAUUAGCUUGUUGGUGGGGUAACGGCUCACCAAGGCGAAGAUCCCUAGCUGGUCUGAGAGGAGGACCAGCCACACUGGAACGGAGACACGGUCCAUACUCCUACGGGAGGCAGCAGUGGGGAAUAUUGCACAAUGGGCGCAAGCCUGAUCCAGCCAUGCCGCGUGUGUGAAUAAGGCCUUCGGAUUGUAAAGCACUUUAAGUUGGGAGGCGGUACCAACAGAAUAAGCACCGGCUAACUUCGUGCCAGCCGCCGCGGUAAUAC